AGUGAACGCUGGCGGUAGGCCUAACACAUGCAAGUCGAACGGCAGCACAGUAAGAGCUUGCUCUUACGGGUGGCGAGUGGCGGACGGGUGAGGAAUACAUCGGAAUCUACUUUUUCGUGGGGGAUAACGUAGGGAAACUUACGCUAAUACCGCAUACGACCUACGGGUGAAAGCAGGGGAUCUUCGGACCUUGCGCGAUUGAAUGAGCCGAUGUGGGAUUAGUUAGUUGGCGGGGUAAAGGCCCACCAAGGCGACGAUCCGUAGCCGGUCUGAGAGGAUGGUCGGCGACACUAGAGCUGGAACACGGUCCAGGCUACUACGAGAGGGAGCAGUGGGGAAUGUUAGACAAUGGGGGCAAACCUGGUCCAGCGAGACCGCGUGGGUGACGACGGCGUUCGGGUUGUGAAGCCGUUUUGUUGGGAAAGAAAAGCUGCCGGUUAAGACGCCGCUGUACUGACGGUACCCGAAGAAGAAGCACCGGCUAACUUCGUG
rnacentral:rRNA from 1 species